GAGUGAGUGGUGUACUGGUUAUAGUCUUAGGCUAGGGCUCUGGAGACUAGGGUUCAAAUCUCUGCUUGGCCA